UCUCCUUUGUUGCUGCUUUCAUCCAUUUCGUUUGAAUUUCUAGAUAUAUGAUUUAUAUGUGACAAUUCAUGACCAUCUUAUCUUUCGGUUUCCAUACACACACACACACUUGACAAGAUAUGAACAUGGAAGGAGGAUCUCAGAAUGACCUGAUGUGUUUGUUGACACUCAGGGACACUGCACAAGCUGCUGCAGGUAUCAACUAUUAGUCUAACAAGGUUCAGGAUGUAGAAUUUAGUGACAUCUAGUGGUGAAGUGUCACGUUGCAGCUGAAUACCCCUCACCUCACUCUCCCCUUCCAAACAUGAAGGAGAACCUGUGGUCGCCUUCAGUUGUCAUAAAAAGUCUACACAAAUUACAGCUGGCAGCCAGACAACAGACAAUAAAUCUGAGAGAACAAGAAACAACUCAAUGAACAAAAGAAAGAGUUGGAUGAGGAGAGGAAGCAAAUGGAGGAGGAGGUGAAGGAACUCAAUGACUAGAAGAUACAACGAGAGGAGCAAAAGGAAGAGCUGGAAGAGGAGAGGAAACAAAUGGAGGAGAAAAAGAAGAGGA